rnacentral:rRNA from 1 species
CCUACGGGCGGCUGCAGUGGGGGAUAUUGGACAAUGGGGGCAACCCUGACCCAGCGACGCCGCGUGAGUGAAGAAGUCUUUCGGUUUGUAAACUUCUUUUCUCGGGGACGAAACAAGUGACGGUACCUGAGGAAUAAGCCACGGCUAACUACGUGCCAGCAGCCGCGGUAAUACGUAGGUGGCAAGCGUUAUCCGGAUUUACUGGGUGUAAAGGGCGCGUAGGCGGUGAAGCAAGUCAGAUGUGAAAACCACGGGCCCAACCCCGGGCCUGCAUUGGAAACUAUGGUACUUGAGUGCAGGAGAGGUAGACGGAAUUCCUAGUGUAGCGGUGAAAUGCGUAGAUAUUAGGAGGAACACCAGUGGCGAAGGCGGUUUACUGGACAGUAACUGACGUUGAGGCUCGAAAGCGUGGGGAGCAAACAGGAUUAGAUACCCCGGUAGUC